rnacentral:rRNA from 1 species
UAGGGAAUCUUCCGCAAUGGGCGAAAGCCUGACGGAGCAACGCCGCGUGAGUGAUGAAGGUCUUCGGAUCGUAAAACUCUGUUAUUAGGGAAGAACAAAUGUGUAAGUAACUAUGCACGUCUUGACGGUACCUAAUCAGAAAGCCACGGCUAACUACGUGCCAGCAGCCGCGGUAAUACGUAGGUGGCAAGCGUUAUCCGGAAUUAUUGGGCGUAAAGCGCGCGUAGGCGGUUUUUUAAGUCAGAUGUGAAAGCCCACGGCUCAACCGUGGAGGGUCAUUGGAAACUGGAAAACUUGAGUGCAGAAGAGGAAAGUGGAAUUCCAGGUGGAGCGGUGAAAUGCGCAGAGAUAUGGAGGAACACCAGUGGCGAAGGCGACUUUCUGGUCUGUAACUGACGCUGAUGUGCGAAAGCGGGGGGAUCAAACAGG